UACAGAGACUGCAAGCGUUAUUCGGAUUCACUGGGCGUAAAGGGUGCGCAGGCGGCCAGAUGUGUGAGGCGUGAAAGCCCGGGGCUUAACCCCGGAAUUGCACCUCAAACUAUUUGGCUAGAGCAUUGGAGAGGGAAGCGGAAUUCACGGUGUAGCAGUGAAAUGCGUAGAUAUCGUGAGGAACACCAGAGGCGAAGGCGGCUUCCUGGACAAUUGCUGACGCUCAGGCACGAAAGCGUGGGGAGCAAAAGGG
rnacentral:rRNA from 1 species